rnacentral:rRNA from 1 species
CCUACGGGAGGCAGCAGUGAGGAAUAUUGGUCAAUGGACGAGAGUCUGAACCAGCCAAGUAGCGUGAAGGAUGACUGCCCUAUGGGGUGUAAACUUCUUUUAUAAAGGAAUAAAACGAGGCACGUGUGCAUUUUUGCACGUACUUCAUGAAUAAGGAUGGGCUAACUCCGUGACAGCAGCAGCGGUAACACGGAGGAGCCGAGCGUUAUGAGGAUGUAUUGGGUUUAAAGGGAGCGUAGAUGGGUUGUUAAGUCAGUUGUGAAAGUUUGCGGCUCAACCGUAAAAUUGCAAUUGAUACUGGCAGUCUUGAGUACAGUUGAGGUAGGCGGAAUUCGUGGUGUAGCGGUGAAAUGCUUAGAUAUCACGAAGAACCCCGAUUGCGAAGGCAGCUUACUAAACUGUGACUGACAUUGAUGCUCGAAAGUGUGGGUAUCAAACAGGAUUAGAUACCCCGGUAGUC